CGGGUGAGUAAUGGAUAAGUAACCUGCCCUUAAGUGGGGGAUAACACUUCGAAAGAAGUGCUAAUACCGCAUGUGGUGCUCUUUCACAAGAAGGAUCACUAAAACCGCAAGGUGCUUGAGGAGGGGCUUGUCUCCGAUUAGCUAGUUGGUGGGGUAACGGCCUACCAAGGCGAUGAUCGGUAGCUGGUCUGAGAGGAUGGUCAGCCACACUGGGACUGAGACACGGCCCAGACUCCUACGGGAGGCAGCAGCAAGGAAUCUUGGGCAAUGGGCGAAAGCCUAACCCAGCGACGCCGCGUGAGGGAUGACGGCCUUCGGGUUGUAAACCUCUUUUCUCAGGGAAGAAUAAUGACGGUACCUGAGGAAUAAGUCUCGGCUAACUACGUGCCAGCAGCCGCGGUAAUACGUAGGAGGCGAGCGUUAUCCGGAUUUAUUGGGCGUAAAGUGGGCGUAGGUGGUCUUUCAAGUCGGAUGUGAAAUCUCCCGGCUCAACUGGGAGGGGUCAUCCGAUACUGUUGGACUUGAGUACAGCAGGGGAAAAUGGAAUUCCCGGUGUAGUGGUGAAAUGCGUAGAUAUCGGGAGGAACACCAGAGGCGAAGGCGAUUUUCCAGGCUGAAACUGACACUGAGGCCCGAAAGCGUGGGGAGCGAACAGGAUUAGAUACCCUGGUAGUCCACGCCUUAAACUAUGGGUACUAGGUAUAGGG
rnacentral:rRNA from 1 species